GACCAGAGGAUGGCAGCAAUACGCCAUAGAUGCGUCUAGCCUGCCGGAAAUAAGAAGAAGAAGAACCCAGUCAAACUGUUUCAACAAGGACAUCGCCAAAACCAGAAGAAUGUUGAGUAUGUGUUGGCUGCGUGCAGGAUUAAUUCUACAGCAGCCAUGUGUCGUCUGUCUCCUUCACGAAAAAUAGGGCAUGGAUGAAGACGCCAUCAACGAGGCCAUUGAAGACACCAGUGUUGGGAUUUAUGUUCUUAAAGAACAUGCUUCAAGUGAUGAACCAGGGGACAUUGGUAUUGUCCUUGAAGGCAUCAAGAUGUUGCAAGAUCUUUAUAAUGUAGCAUUACCUGUUGCUACGCUGUUUGGACUAAUGUACAGUAUGCCAGCUAACCUGCUCGCCUUCGAUCAUCCAAAAGAUUUGCAUGGAACUUGAUGGAGGGAAACUUACCAACAAAGCACUUGCUCUAAAAAACUGGCUCUUCCAGUGAAAGGGCCAGAGAGAAUGUGCCGUCAACCAAAAAGCGUUGUUGUCCCUAGGCAUCAUUGGUAUGGCUGUACUCUUUGGACUAGUUUUUUUUUUUUUUUUGAAUUAAGUGGACAGGAUUUGCAUGGAGCUGCAUGGAAAUAACCUUUUGCAAACCAAGCAAACGUUUUCUCUUUAGACCAACAGGCAUCUUUGGUACUGCUAUACCAGAUGGAUUUUUUUUUUUUUUUACAGUGUUAACAUUUUUUGUCAUUUGAAAAACUACUUUGAAAACAGAGUGCACAAUUUAAAGGGUAACUUUGGGUUUUUCAACUUGGACCCUAUGUUCCUCUGUUGUUGUUACUGUUGGGAACAACGAUCUUCGACAUUGGUCCAGUAUAAAGCGAGUAGGCCUGUCACGAUAAAAAGUUUUGCUGGAUGAUAAAUUGUCCCAGAAAUUGUGAUAAACCAUAAUCUUGUCGUCCUGAGACCAUUUUCAUCUAAUAUAAUGAUAAUGGCAUAAUAAUGCAGGUACACUUUUUCAAAGAUCAAUAAACUUUUAUUUCUAAGGAAUUUUUAACACUAGAACUGGAAGAUAUUUUAAAUAUCCACAAUAUGUCUUUGAUCUCCUUUAGUAGGCUAUGUCGUCUUUCAUGCUGUUGUACAGUUGUGGAAUUGCCGUUUGUGGCACGUAUGUUCCCCCAGGCAAUUGGUACUGACCGUCAAAUGUUUGCAUUAUUCCUCGAAUGUUUGUGCGAUAGACUGCGGACUCUGUACUACCUACCGUUAACAAUUAUUUAUUAAAAACUAAAUAUUACAUUUAAAUAAUAACAUAUAAUUAAUAAAUUAUAUCUAUUUAAAUGGCUAGCUGCCACAUGGCGAGUAAAUAUUUUUACCAUCAUAGUUCUGUUUUUCAGUCUUCAUUUUGGUGAAGGUGCAGCUACUUUCUUCUGCUCCUCUGCAGGUCUGAGCUUCGCGGGGGUGGGCCGACACACACAUGCGUUCGCGCACACACACACACACACAAACAAACACUGGUGCCACUUUCCUGAAACCGCUUGCAAGACAUCGGCCACAGCGGCGUGUAUGUCUGAGCACGGCGGAUAUCGCUCAUAUUCUUCUUCUUUUUUUUUGACACCGCCUUAACUGUUCAAGUUUCCUGCUUUUGCCAAUAUCUGCUUUUGUGUUUUACUUUUGUGUCAAUAACAAAGAUCCUUUUCUGAAAUGCAAUUUGUAAUCUGUCAAUGUAAUGCACUUGAACUGAAUUGUAAUAUAAUACACUUGUAGUGUAAUAGCAACAUUCAUGCUUAAGUAUAACAAAAUGGGGAUAAAAGUACAGAUGAAAUAUACUUAAAACAAUUUGUUUCUA